rnacentral:rRNA from 1 species
CCUACGGGAGGCAGCAGUGGGGAAUAUUGGGCAAUGGGCGCAAGCCUGACCCAGCAACGCCGCGUGCAGGAAGAAGGCUUUCGGGUUGUAAACUUCUUUUCUCAGGGACGAAGAAAGUGACGGUACCUGCGGAAUAAGCCACGGCUAACUACGUGACAGCAGCCGCGGUACUACGUAGGUGGCAAGCGUUAUCCGGAUUUACUGGGUGUAAAGGGCGGGUAGGCGGGACUGCAAGUCAGAUGUGAAAACCACGGGCUCAACCUGUGGCCUGCAUUUGAAACUGUAGUCCUUGAGUACUGGAGAGGCAGACAGAAUUCCUGGUGUAGCGGUGAAAUGCGUAGAGAUUAGGAGGAACACCAGUGGCGAAGGCGGCCUGCUGGACAACAACUGACGCUGAGGCGCGAAAGCGUGGGGAGCAAACAGGAUUAGAUACCCGAGUAGUC